rnacentral:rRNA from 1 species
CAUCGGACGGGUGAGUAACGCGUGAGAAUCUAGCUUUAGGUCUGGGACAACCACUGGAAACGGUGGCUAAUACCGGAUGUGCCGAGAGGUGAAAGGCUUGCUGCCUGAAGAUGAGCUCGCGUCUGAUUAGCUAGUUGGUGGGGUAAGAGCCUACCAAGGCGACGAUCAGUAGCUGGUCUGAGAGGAUGAUCAGCCACACUGGGACUGAGACACGGCCCAGACUCCUACGGGAGGCAGCAGUGGGGAAUUUUCCGCAAUGGGCGAAAGCCUGACGGAGCAAUACCGCGUGAGGGAGGAAGGCUCUUGGGUUGUAAACCUCUUUUCUCAGGGAAGAAAAAAAUGACGGUACCUGAGGAAUAAGCAUCGGCUAACUCCGUGCCAGCAGCCGCGGUAAUACGGAGGAUGCAAGCGUUAUCCGGAAUGAUUGGGCGUAAAGCGUCCGCAGGUGGCUAUGUAAGUCUGCUGUUAAAGAGCAAGGCUCAACCUUGUAAAGGCAGUGGAAACUACAUGGCUAGAGUGCGUUCGGGGCAGAGGGAAUUCCUGGUGUAGCGGUGAAAUGCGUAGAGGUCAGGAAGAACACCGGUGGCGAAAGCGCUUUGCUAGCCGGCAACUGAACACUGAAGGACCCAAAACUAAUCCUUU